GGAUGCGAUCAUACCAGCACUAAAGAACCGAAUCCCAUCAGAACUCCGAAGUUAAGCGUGCUUGGGCGAGAGUAGUACUAGGAUGGGUGACCUCCUGGGAAGUCCUCGUGUUGCAUUUC
rnacentral:rRNA from 1 species